rnacentral:lncRNA from 1 species
GACCUGCCAACUAUCCCGAUUUUCGCGGUAUCAUCCCGAUUUUCAUCCCUCAACCCGAAUCCCGAUAUCGGGAUUCUAAAACAAGUCAAAAUCCCGAUUUUCACAAAUAUACCCGAACAAAUUAUUUGGUUUCCGAUUUUGAAGUUUUUCUGAUAAUCUAUAAUUUUACCUGGGGCCAUAUUAUGACAAGUUUACAAUACUACGCUAAUCAACGGUCACAACAGGUGUCAUAGUUUGUUGUUGCAAGUAAUCGGAUUACCUGAUGGGUCAUAACAAUCCUCAAAAUUAAUUAAUAUUAUUAUUUGUAAACAGAAAGUCGGUCAGUUGGCCUUUCAUUUUUAAUCAAUUUAUCAUACGAGCACAA